UAAACAACAAUGUAGAAAUUGGCUUAGCGGUGAGAGAUGAAAGGCAAAUAAAAAAUAAUGUGGGUUUACGACAAUACUGCUGAAGAAUAAAAAAAUAUUAUAAAAAAUAUGUAAAUAUGUGAUCAGUGAGGUUCGAUCAGGUGACUAUGAAAAUUAAGCUCCGAGAAGUAAUUUAUUUCAAAGUAGUUAUCAACUCCUUUUGUUCAAAGCUCCUUCUAUUCAAUUUUUUACAUAUUAAAAUAAGUAUUUUUUUCUAUUAAGUACUUAAUUUAUACUACUAUUGUGUUUGGCCUACCUUCUACUUAAUAAUAUAAAAAAGUUAAAAAAAAUUCGGCCAAACGGUACCAUAGUAUCUGAUCAAUCAAGUGUAUUAAACAAUUUUGUGACUAAUAACAUUUUCACUUGUCGCGCCUCUUGCACCCAAAAUUUGUGCCAGUAUUGUUUUUAUCAAUUCCUACGGCUAUUUUACCGUAAAAAAAUAAUAUUCCUACGGCUAUUUUCUGCUUCUUGCGCUCAUAUAUUCUCUAAUUUGUCUGCAACAAUGGUCCAUGAGAUUUGUCUUUUCACAUGAACUACUAGAUAAAUAAAAAAAUAAUUAAUGGUUGGUAAACAAUAAUGAACUCUAAUUUUUUUU
rnacentral:lncRNA from 1 species